UCAGUUCAUCUGUUGAAUAUAAAAUAUAAGUCUGACUAUUAUACUUUUAUGAGUAUAUAAGUCUUUUUGUACUUAUGAGUUUUCAAUCGUUAAAUUACCUCUUUAAUUAUUUUCAUCCGUUAGAUUAUACUAUUUAACUAACCACCCACUCAACUUUAGGGGACCGCUAUUAUUCUAAUCGGGAACCACUAUCAUUCUAAUCACACACAUCUUCAUCCAAUGGCUAAAAAUUUAUGAAUACAAAUGGACUUAUACUCACAAGAGUAUAGUCGUCCUAGCCUAUAAAAUAUAUAACAUUAUUUUCUAGCAAUUUAGGUUAUUGAAGAUAAACGGUUGUUUUAUAUAAUUUAACAUAGUAUCAGGGAAAUAGGUCAUGAGUUUGAGUCAAUUUAAGUACAUAAGCCCAUGUUUUGAAUCUAUUAAAAAAGUUUCAAGACUAGACGUGAAAGAAAGUGUUGAAUAUAAAAUAUUUAAACAAGUAAUUUAAAUUAUUGGAGAUAAAUAUAUAGCUUUUGUGUUCGAGUCAUGUCAGGUUCUUAGUGUUAUUU
rnacentral:lncRNA from 1 species